rnacentral:lncRNA from 1 species
GUCCCCACGAAGGAAGCCCCGAGCCGGAUGGCGGCUGCCGGGAGAUGCGGGAGCGGUCGCCAGCGAGCCGUGCGCCCCACAGCCGCGUGGUUGGCCGGACGCCCCCACUUCCCAGACUUCCACGAGACUUGGCGGUGAGAAAUUGAAACAUUGGCGUGGCUCACGUGGAGCAGAACCGCUCGGGAAGCAGCCGGCUCCAGACGAGGCUUGGAC